UACGGAGGGGGCUAGCGUUAUUCGGAAUUAUUGGGCGUAAAGGGCGCGUAGGCGGCCCGGUAAGUCAAAGGUGAAAUCCCUCGGCUCAACUGAGGAACUGCCUUUGAAACUGUCGGGCUUGAGGCCGGGAGGGGGUAGCGGAAUUCCCAGUGUAGCGGUGAAAUGCGUAGAGAUCCGGAGGAACCCCAGAGGCGAAGGCGGCGUCCUGGCUCGCAUCUGACGCUCAGACACGACAGCAUGGGGAGCGAACGGG
rnacentral:rRNA from 1 species